AACUGGACUAGGCCGGGCGGUUUGGCCCUGCCCUCCACCCGCGAGAUAGUCAUCAGCGGGGGCCGAAAUCCUGGGGAGUCCGGUCGACCUGUCCGGGCCCCGGGAGCCAACGUGGAAGCCUCGUCCUUCGGGGACGGCGGUCCGCGGCGCGCACCUGCAGGGGUGUCGUCGGCGCGGUUCGUCGGUGCCACUCCGUCAGGCACGGAAGUGAGCAGCGGAGCACCGAACGUUCGUCGCUCGAAGGGUCGCGGGGUGGAGAAGGCGACCGGGACUACCCGGGCGGGAACACCGGGCAACCCGGGGCCGUCCAUCA
rnacentral:SRP_RNA from 1 species